AUUGAACGCUGGCGGCAGGCCUAACACAUGCAAGUCGAGCGGAUGAAGGGAGCUUGCUCCUGGAUUCAGCGGCGGACGGGUGAGUAAUGCCUAGGAAUCUGCCUGGUAGUGGGGGAUAACGUCCGGAAACGGGCGCUAAUACCGCAUACGUCCUGAGGGAGAAAGUGGGGGAUCUUCGGACCUCACGCUAUCAGAUGAGCCUAGGUCGGAUUAGCUAGUUGGUGGGGUAAAGGCCUACCAAGGCGACGAUCCGUAACUGGUCUGAGAGGAUGAUCAGUCACACGGGAACUGAGACACGGUCCAUGCUACUACGGGAGGGAGCAGUGGGGAAUAUGGGACAAUGGGGGAAAACAUUACCCAGCCAUGCCGAGUGUGUGAAGAAGGUCUUCGGGUUGUAAAGCACUUUAAGUUGGGAGAAAGGGCAGUAAGUUAAUACCUUGCUGUUUUGACGUUACCAACAGAAUAAGCACCGGCUAACUUCGUG
rnacentral:rRNA from 1 species